rnacentral:lncRNA from 1 species
GCGGCUAAGCAUCGAAGAGGCCCAAUGUAAGCAAACUCGUACAACGAGCUUACAGUGCGCGACGUAGUGAUCAGGCUCGACGAUGACCACGAUUCCUUGGAUAGUUCUGUUCCUCCGUGAGCAGUCUUUCCGUGCACCCCAUAAGACUGCCAAUAGCUUCGGUGAUAUUACAGAUCGCAACGCGCACCUACUGUUCACGGCGUAAUGCUGAUUCUAUGAGUGUGCUGAGUUCCUCCACUCAGUGUUACUACGAGCGUUACGAAUAUUACAUAGUGCGUGCAAAAGGAAGACAGCCUAUAUAGCUACGAUGCGACAAGGAGGUGGCGCCGACGAUGGAUCUCGCAACCAACACAGUGAAGGAGACAUCGACAAACUGCAGAUAAGUGUAUUUAUACUGUUUCAUAUUUAGCAUAUUAGUACACGGAUUAAGCCACUUUCGUAGUAACGAGCUGAAUGUCCAGCAGUUCAAAAAAGGCUCUGAGAACCAAUGAGUGUUCGUACUUUUAUAUCACGUUGGUCCGCGAAAAUUUAAAGGUGAUCGCGUUUGUCCGAGCUUCCAAGGCAUGCCACUCCCCCAAGUAGGCAGCAUAUGCCAUAGCGAGAAGCAUGGCGGAAAGCGAACUCGGAUCACCUGCAGCAAAAAAGGCUAGGUCGGGGCGUCAUGCGUCUGCUCUCCAAAAAGAAGAAUUAGUCGCCUUCUUGGAGAGGCAUCCCAACCUAGCCAGGCCGAGCAGCGAGUUGUCCGCGUGUUUCACGGGCCAUGAACGCGACAAAUUGUGGGCCCAGUUGGCAGACCUCCUCAACGAACGUGGCCCCGCGAAGAAGAGUGCGACAAAUUGGCGGCGAUAUUGGCCCGAGCUUGUCGCACAAGUCAAGCGGGACGCAGUCGUUGUGUCGGAAGCUGCCGCGUAAGUUGCACUGGUAUUAGUUAUUUAAGGAAACAGACGCUGCUGUUGUCGGUCUGCGUUAUGCUCACAAUGAAAUGUUGCCUUAUUCGUUAAUUCAUUAAAUGUUUACCAACUAAGAGCUGCGUGGCCGUGGUGUCACAGUGGCUUUUAGUAGUAUUUAAUCAUGUUACAUACGUUUCUGUAAACGACUGACCAGUUAUAUUUGCGAUUAACUUUCUCAUUUGGAAAUCUGCGUACCUCCUUCUUAAACGCGUUUUGCCCUCAAUUUCAGUGGCACAGGUGGUGGAAGGCUACCAGGGCUCCGAGGGAGGGUGCUCUCAUUGAUUGGCUGUAAGUGUGCCGUGAGCUUGGGGCCUUCACUAUUGCUGAAAGACCCCACACCGGAGUCGCAAACCUCGACCAGCCUGUUCGACGUCCCAGUAGUGCCACUGCAGCACUCGAUUUCAGUUCCCCAAGCAAGCACAAUGCCAAAAGGCUCGCAGGCACAGCCUAAGGCUGGAACUUUACAGGUGAUUGCUGACGACCAAAAGAGGCUCGUCGAGGCAGUGGAGGGUCUGCGGGCUGACACA